rnacentral:rRNA from 1 species
GACUUAAGCAUAUCAAUAAGCGGAGGAAAAGAAACCAACAGGGAUUGCCCUAGUAACGGCGAGUGAAGCGGCAACAGCUCAAAUUUGAAAUCUGGCUUCGGCCCGAGUUGUAAUUUGCAGAGGAUGUUUCUGGCGCGGUGCCUUCCGAGUUCCCUGGAACGGGACGCCACAGAGGGUGAGAGCCCCGUAUGGUUGGACACCAAGCCUGUGUGAAACUCCUUCGACGAGUCGAGUAGUUUGGGAAUGCUGCUCAAAAUGGGAGGUAAAUCUCUUCUAAAGCUAAAUACCGGCCAGAGACCGAUAGCGCACAAGUAGAGUGAUCGAAAGAUGAAAAGCACCUUGAAAAGGGGGUUAAACAGUACGUGAAAUUGUUGAAAGGGAAGCGCUUGUGACCAGACUUGCGCCGGGCGGUUCAUCCGGGGUUCUCCCCGGUGCACUCCGCCCGGUUCAGGCCAGCAUCGGUUCUCGUUGGGGGAUAAGAACGGCAGGAACGUGGCCCUCCUUCGGGUGGGUGUUAUAGCCUGUCGUACGAUACCCUGAUGGGGACCGAGGUUCGCGCUCCGCAAGGAUGCUGGCGUAAUGGUCAUCAGCGACCCGUCUUGAAACACGGACCAAGGAGUCGUCCAUUAGAGCGAGCGUUUGGGUGUCAAACCCGCACGCGUAAUGAAAGUGAAAUUAGGUGAGAGCUUCGGCGCAUCAUCGACCGAUCCUGAUGUUCUCGGAUGGAUUUGAGUAAGAGUUUUAACGGACGGACCCGAAAGACAGUGAACUAUGCUUGUAUAGGGUGAAGCCAGAGGAAACUCUGGUGGAGGCUCGCAGCGGUUCUGACGUGCAAAUCGAUCGUCAAAUAUGAGCAU